rnacentral:lncRNA from 10 species
CUCAGCAAAUGCCAUGUGGGUCUCCAGGGACAGAUGCUCAAAGUCUCUUUCUCUGUGAUCAGCCACUCUCACUUCCUAUGGCAUGCUUUCUUUUCCUAUGACCCGAGACAUAGGAAUCCCUGCACCUCGACAUCUGCAAGGCUGAGGACUUGUUUCUGUCACUGAAAACACAAGAAGGAGGAAGCCAUCUGGAGAAUAAGAGCUGAUAUAUACAGUGAAGAGAAGAAAUGGAGACAGAGUUGACAGAGCUGUGGUAGACUCUGGACCCGCUCAGAACUCUGAAGAUACUGCUUCGUGGCAUUUGAAGGCAAUUCUGGCAUCCAGUGUUGCUGUUUGAGAGGCAUAAUGCCACACGGACUCCCUGAUCCAUCAUCUGUGAACUAUUAUGUGUGUGGGGUUGUGUGUGUGUUUUCCUUUCAAACUUUUAGAAUCUUCUUUUCAUUCUGAUAUUCUAGAAUUUCAUGAUGACCUGACUUGGUGUGGGUCUUUGUUCACUGUCCGUCAGACCGUUGGUAGAUAUUUUCAUUACUGGCAAUGCAUGUCUUUCAGUUUUGAGGAAUGUUUGUGUUUUGAGAAUUCUCUCUCUACUGUUUUCCUCAAUGUUCUCUUCAUGGAACUCCCAUGAACUGGACAUGAGCCCUAUUAGACUGACCUACAUUUCUUUUCACACUUUUUCUACCUCAGUCUUUUUA